rnacentral:misc_RNA from 1 species
GAUGAAGAACGUAGCGAAAUGCGAUAAGUAAUGUGAAUUGCAGAAUUCAGUGAAUCAUCGAAUCUUUGAACGCACAUUGCGCCCCCUGGCAUUCCGGGGGGCAUGCCUGUCCGAGCGUCAUUGCUGCCCUUCAAGCCCGGCUUGUGUGUUGGGUCGUCGUCCCCCCCGGGGGACGGGCCCGAAAGGCAGCGGCGGCACCGCGUCCGGUCCUCGAGCGUAUGGGGCUUUGUCACCCGCUCGAUUAGGGCCGGCCGGGCGCCAGCCGGCGUCUCCAACCUUUUAUUUUACCAGGUUGACCUCGGAUCAGGUAGGGAUACCCGCUGAACUUAAGCAUAUCAAUAAGCGGAGGA